AGUCUCGUGGUCUAGUGGUACGACAUCAGCAAUCCCAUGCAAGAGUUCAGCUGAAGAUCGCUGGUUCAAAUCCGGCCGAGGCGA